AACGAACGCUGGCGGUAUGCUUAACACAUGCAAGUCGAACGGACUAUUAGGGCUUGCUCUAAUAGUUAGUGGCAAACGGGUGAGUAACACGUGGGAAUCUACCCAUCAGUACGGAAUAACAUUUGGAAACAAAUGCUAAUACCGUAUAUUCUCUUCGGAGGAAAGAUUUAUCGCUGAUGGAUGAGCCCGCGUCUGAUUAGGUAGUUGGUGGGGUAAUGGCCUACCAAGCCGACGAUCAGUAGCUGGUCUGAGAGGAUGAUCAGCCACACUGGAACUGAGACACGGUCCAGACUCCUACGGGAGGCAGCAGUGGGGAAUAUUGGACAAUGGGCGAAAGCCUGAUCAGCAAUACCGCGUGAAUGAUGAAGGCCUUAGGGUUGUAAAGUUCUUUCAGCCGGAAAGAAAUACGCGCAGGAUAAUACUCUGCUGGAUGACGGUACCGGAAGAAGAAGCACCGGCUAACUAACGUGCCAGCCGCCGCGGUAAAACCAGAC
rnacentral:rRNA from 1 species